CAGCAUGUGUGACAGAAGUGGCACUUACACACACAAAGUGACCAGGUCACCUCUUUGAUGAAACUGCAGCGGUGCAUACUGGAGAGAAACUAAAGUAUUGAUCUCAUUAGACUGGUACUGAUCAAUAUCAAUACCAAUGUUGGUAUCAAUAUUAUUGAUAUUUGGAUUGAUCCGCCCACCACUAACCACCGCGUUCCUGGACCG